rnacentral:rRNA from 1 species
AGUGAACGCUGGCGGUAGGCCUAACACAUGCAAGUCGAACGGCAGCACAAUAAGAUCUUUCUCUUACGGUUGGCGACUGGCGGACGGGUAACGCAUACAUCGCAUUCUUCUUUUUCUUGGGUGAUUUCGUAGGGCAACUUACGCUAACACCUCAUAUGUUCUACCGCUUGAUUCAAUGGUUCUUCGCACCUUUCCCGUCUCAUUUAGCUGAUUCCGCAUUAGCUAGUUGGCUUGGUAAAGUCCCACCAAGGCGACGAUCCGUAGCUUGCCUGAGAGGAUGAUCGGCCACACUGGAACUGAGACACGGUCCAGACUCCUACGGGAGGCAGCAGUGGGGAAUAUUGGACAAUGGGCGAAAGCCUGACGGAGCAAUACCGCGUGGGUGAAGAAGGCCUUCGGGUUGUAAAGCCCUUUUAUUGGGAAAGAAAAGAAGCAGAAUAAUCCACGGACGUUCUGACGGUACCCAAAGAAAAAGCACCGGCUAACUACGUG